UGAGUAAGCCAGACAAUCGCGUGGAUGCUUUGACAUCCAUGAGGAAAGUCCGAGCUCCAUAGGGCAAGGGUGCCAGAUAACGUCUGGUGAAGGUGACUUCAAGGAAAGUGCAACAGAAACACACCGCCGAUGGCCGCAAGGCACAGGUAAGGUUGAAAUGGUGAGGUAAGAGCUCACCGGCAGUAUGGUAACAUACUGGCCGUGCAAACCCCACCCGGAGCAAGACCAAGCAGGGAGGUAAUUGCCAGUAAUGGCAUAUUGCCUGAAAGGCGGCGGCCCGUCGCUUCCCGGUAGGUAGGUCGCUUGAGCGUACUGGUGACAGUACGCCUAGAUAGAUGAUUGUCAAAUACAGAACUCGGCUUAUAGGCUUGCUCACACU
rnacentral:RNase_P_RNA from 1 species